UACAGAGGUCUCAAGCGUUGUUCGGAUUCAUUGGGCGUAAAGGGUGCGUAGGCGGCCAACUAAGUCGGAUGUGAGAUCCCCAGGCUUAACCUGGGAACUGCAUCCGAUACUGGAUGGCUUGAAUUCGGGAGAGGGAUGCAGAAUUCCAGGUGUAGCGGUGAAAUGCGUAGAUAUCUGGAGGAAUACCGGUGGCGAAGGCGGCAUCCUGGACCGAGAUUGACGCUGAUGAGCGAAAGCUAGGGGAGCAAACGGG
rnacentral:rRNA from 1 species